rnacentral:rRNA from 1 species
AAUAUUGCGCAAUGGAGGGAACUCUGACGCAGCGACGCCGCGUGAGCGAUGAAGGUUUUCGGAUCGUAAAGCCCGUUCCUUGGGGAAGAAGGCGGCCAUAUUUGGCCACUUGACUGUACCCAAGGAGGAAGCCACGGCUAAACACGUGCACGCAGCCGGGGUAAUAAGUAGGGGGCAAGCGUUGUCCGGAAUUAUUGGGGGUAAAGGGUGCGUAGGCGGCCUUUUAAGUCAGAUGUGAAAGCCCACGGCUUAACCGUGGGGUUGCAUGUGAAACUGGAGGGCUUGAGUAUCGGAGAGGGUAGUGGAAUUCCCAGUGUAGCGGUGGAAUGCGUAGAUAUUGGGAGGAACACCAGUGGCGAAGGCGACUACCUGGACGAAAACUGACGCUGAGGCACGAAAGCUAGGGGAGCAAACA